GCAUCUUCACUGCCGAAGAAGAAGAAGAAGAAGAAGAAGAAGAAGAAGAAGAAGGAGGAGGAGGAGCUGAGUACACAGAGCAAACACACAAACAUUUAUCUUUGCGAAAGUGUAUUUGAGGUCUGAAACUCUGCUGUUUAUCUCAUAAGUAAUCUGUGAGCAGCAGGUGGCAGCAGACGCUCGUCAGACUGCUGUGAGGGCAUCGGCUGCAGCACACACUCAAGGAUUUCAGCGGAUGAGGCUUCAGUCUGUUUGAGCUCGUCUUGAUCAGUUCCUGAAGCGCUGAGAGUCAUUCAGAGCCUCAGAAGAGAGCUGCACGUGUAAGAUGUCUCCUCUUCACUCAUCAUCAUCUUCCCUCAUCUGUGUCUCAUGAAGAAGAGCUGCAGCUGCUUUGUUUACACUUCGGCUGAAAUGAUUAAAGAGAAUUAUUAAAUAAUUACAUGUAUAAAUUAUCCUGCAUUGGCUGGAUCCAGCUGAAUGAAAAAACACUGUUCUUGUAUUUUAUUGCUGGCUUACUGAAAUGUGAGUCAGAGUUCUUGAGAUUUUGUGAUUUCCCCAUUCAGAGCCAUACAGUUCCUCAGACGUUAACUUUAACUGAACUUCUGAGAAAUCCAGCAGCUCGUGGCAUUCUGGGAAGUGAAGUGUUCAUCAGCAUGUCAAUAUAAACCGCUCUGUCUGUAAGGCCAAGAAAGGACCACAAACUUUUGUUAAAUGUUCAAACAAGACUAUCAUUUUGACAUGCUUCUUUUUACUGAAAAAAAUCACUUAUUAAUGUUGCUAAUAACAUAUCAAUGUUUUAUUCUACUUGGUUUGAAUUUCAGUUCUAGUUCCUGUCUGCCACCUCAGUUCAAGUUCAGGACUAAUCAUAAAAAAGUUAGUCAUCUAAGUGUUUUUUUCUUCAAGACUGGUCAGUACUUAAAGUCAUAACUUGAAAGCUGAUGUCACAAUAAAUGUCAGAAGACCGGGAAGAUUUUAAAACAAGCGGUUUAUUCAUAAAUGUGUAUACCUUCACACUGUGGAAAUACAAACAGAAGACAACAAGUCAAG
ensembl:lncRNA